AGCAGUCGCCGCGGUAAUACGGAGGAUCCAAGCGUUAUCCGGAAUUAUUGGGUUUAAAGGGUCCGUAGGCGGUCUUGUAAGUCAGUGGUGAAAGCCCAUCGCUCAACGGUGGAACGGCCAUUGAUACUGCAGGACUUGAAUUAUUGGGAAGUAACUAGAAUAUGUAGUGUAGCGGUGAAAUGCUUAGAGAUUACAUGGAAUACCAAUUGCGAAGGCAGGUUACUACCAAUUGAUUGACGCUGAUGGACGAAAGCGUGGGUAGCGAACAGGAUUAGAUACCCCAGUAGUCCCUGUCUCUUAUAC
rnacentral:rRNA from 1 species